GGACGGGUGAGUAAUGUAUAGUUAAUCUGCCCUUUAGAGGGGGAUAACAGUUGGAAACGACUGCUAAUACCCCAUACUCCUUUUAUCUUAAUGAUAAUUGGGAAACGUUUUUUCGCUAAAGGAUGAGACUAUAUGGUAUCAGGUAGUUGGUGGGGUAAGAGCCCACCAAGCCAAUGACGCCUAGCUGGUCUGAGAGGAUGAUCGGCCACACUGGAACUGAGACACGGUCCAGACUCCUACGGGAGGCAGCAGUGGGGAAUAUUGCACAAUGGAGGAAACUCUGAUGCAGCAACGCCGCGUGGAGGAUGACGCAUUUCGGUGUGUAAACUCCUUUUAUAUGGGAAGAUAAUGACGGUACCAUAUGAAUAAGCACCGGCUAACUCCGUGCCAGCAGCCGCGGUAAUACGGAGGGUGCAAGCGUUACUCGGAAUCACUGGGCGUAAAGCGCGCGCAGGCGGCCUUUUAAGUUGGAUGUGAAAGCCUAUGGCUCAACCAUAGAACUGCAUCCAAACUAUCGGGCUAGAGUGUGGGAGAGGGAAGAUGGAAUUACCUGUGUAGGGGUAAAAUCCGUAGAGAUAACUAGGAAUACCAAAAGCGAAUGCAAUCUUCUGGAAAAUUACUGACGCUGAGGGGCGAAAGCGUGGGGACAAACAGGAUUACAUAC
rnacentral:rRNA from 1 species